rnacentral:rRNA from 1 species
CAGUAGGGAAUCUUCGGCAAUGGACGAAAGUCUGACCGAGCAACGCCGCGUGAGUGAAGAAGGUUUUCGGAUCGUAAAACUCUGUUGGUAGAGAAGAACGUUGGUGAGAGUGGAAAGCUCAUCAAGUGACGGUAACUACCCAGAAAGGGACGGCUAACUACGUGUCAG